UAUUGCACAAUGGGGGAAACCCUGAUGCAGCGACGCCGCGUGAGUGAAGAAGUAUUUCGGUAUGUAAAGCUCUAUCAGCAGGGAAGAAAAUGACGGUACCUGAUUAAGAAGCCCCGGCUAACUACGUGCCAGCAGCCGCGGUAAUACGUAGGGGGCAAGCGUUAUCCGGAUUUACUGGGUGUAAAGGGAGCGUAGACGGCAGCACAAGUCUGGAGUGAAAUGCCGGUGCUUAACCCCGGAACUGCUUUGGAAACUGUGCAGCUAGAGUGCAGGAGCGGUAAGUGGAAUUCCUAGUGUAGCGGUGAAAUGCGUAGAUAUUAGGAGAAACACCAGUGGCGAAGGCGGCUUACUGGACUGUAACUGACGCUGAGUCCCGAAAGCGUGGGGAGCAAAUAGG
rnacentral:rRNA from 1 species